rnacentral:rRNA from 1 species
ACGAACGCUGGCGGCGUGCUUAACACAUGCAAGUCGAACGGAAAGGCCCUGCUUUUGUGGGGUGCUCGAGUGGCGAACGGGUGAGUAACACGUGAGUAACCUGCCCUUGACUUUGGGAUAACUUCAGGAAACUGGGGCUAAUACCGGAUAGGAGCUCCUGCUGCAUGGUGGGGGUUGGAAAGUUUCGGCGGUUGGGGAUGGACUCGCGGCUUAUCAGCUUGUUGGUGGGGUAGUGGCUUACCAAGGCUUUGACGGGUAGCCGGCCUGAGAGGGUGACCGGCCACCUUGGGACUGAGAUACGGCCCAGACUCCUACGGGAGGCAGCAGUGGGGAAUAUUGCACAAUGGGCGGAAGCCUGAUGCAGCAACGCCGCGUGCGGGAUGACGGCCUUCGGGUUGUAAACCGCUUUCGCCUGUGACGAAGCGUGAGUGACGGUAAUGGGUAAAGAAGCACCGGCUAACUACGUG